rnacentral:rRNA from 1 species
GACGAACGCUGGCGGCGUGCUUAACACAUGCAAGUCGAACGGAAAGGUCCUGCUCUUGUGGGGUGCUCGAGUGGCGAACGGGUGAGUAACACGCGAGUAACCUGCCCUUGACUUUGGGAUAACUUCAGGAAACUGGGGCUAAUACCGGAUAGGAGCUCCUGCAGCAUGGUGGGGGUUGGAAAGUUUCGGCGGUUGGGGCUGGACUCGCGGCUUAUCAGCUUGUUGGUGGGGUAGUGGCUUACCAAGGCUUUGACGGGUAGCCGGCCUGAGAGGGUGACCGGGCACAUUGGGACUGAGAUACGGCCCAGACUCCUACGGGAGGCAGCAGUGGGGAAUAUUGCACAAUGGGCGGAAGCCUGAUGCAGCAGCGCCGCGUGCGGGAUGACGGCCUUCGGGUUGUAAACCGCUUUCGCCUGUGACGAAGCGUUAGUGACGGUAAUGGGUAAAGAAGCACCGGCUAACUACGUG